UACGGAGGGGGCUAGCGUUGUUCGGAAUUACUGGGCGUAAAGCGCGCGUAGGCGGCUUUGUAAGUUAGAGGUGAAAGCCCGGAGCUUAACUCCGGAACUGCCUUUAAGACUGCAUCGCUAGAAUUGUGGAGAGGUGAGUGGAAUUCCGAGUGUAGAGGUGAAAUUCGUAGAUAUUCGGAAGAACACCAGUGGCGAAGGCGACUCACUGGACACAUAUUGACGCUGAGGUGCGAAAGCGGGGUGGGAGCAAACAGG
rnacentral:rRNA from 1 species